rnacentral:tRNA from 1 species
GGGCGUGUGCCGGAGCGGCCAAUCGGGGCGGACUGUAAAUCCGCUGGCUUAUGCCUACGGGGGUUCGAAUCCCUCCGCGCCCA